CUUUCUCUACAACCGCAUUGAAAAGGUUAUUUAAAAGAUGGAAAAUUCUUACCUUAAAAGCGAGUCUUAUUGAAGGA
rfam:Clostridium sp. CAG:524 genomic scaffold, scf52